rnacentral:tRNA from 1 species
UGUAGCUCAGUGGUAGAGCACUUGCCUAGCAUGUGCAAGGUUCUGGGUUCAAUUCCCAGUA